rfam:Canis lupus familiaris chromosome 1, whole genome shotgun sequence.
AGGAGGAACAGCCCCAGUGGCGGGGCCUGCUCUGGAGCCCUGGAGUCAGCCCCCGCAGGAACUCAGGAGCUCUCCGUCUGCAGGGCCUGGAGGCUCCGGGACGGG